AGACGGGGGUUGCUAGCGUUGUUCGGAAUUACUGGGCGUAAAGGGCGCGUAGGCGGCUCUGCGAGUCGGGCAUGAAAUCCCGGGGCUCAACCCCGGAACGGCGCUCGAUACUGCGGGGCUGGAGACCGGAAGAGGAGGGUGGAAUUCCCAGUGUAGAGGUGAAAUUCGUAGAUAUUGGGAGGAACACCGGUGGCGAAAGCGGCUCUCUGGUCCGGUUCUGACGCUGAGGCGCGAAAGCGUGGGGAGCAAACAGGAUUAGAUACCCUAGUAGUCC
rnacentral:rRNA from 1 species